AGGAAGGGACAUGCUACAUGUUAACUUCGGAAAAGGACAAAUGUUUAAGUCAUAAAGCUUUUACACGAAGAUGGAGCUCAAUCUUGUACGCUUUCCACCCAGUCCACCCCAUCUCACAAUAUGUUGGCAGUUCACCUACAUGUAUGUCAUAUGCCAUUCCUCUUUACGGCUGAAUAAAACUCCCCUGGAUGGAUGCACCAUAGUGGAUUUAUCCAUUUACCAGUUGAUGGGCAUCUGCACUGUUUGCACUUUUAGGGUGUUCUGAAUAAAUCAGCUAAGAGCAUUCAAGUACAA